AGUGUAUUCUUUGCUUUCCAUUAGAAGAGCUGCAAGUCUUGCCUCAACACGCUGUCGGAGGAAGGUGCGCUUCUCUGCACGGGUCCAUUCCACCAUCUCCUUGCAAAGGGUAAUCUGUAAAUCGGAAGUCCCUGGUAUCUUGGCAACAGUGUCGAUGAUUCCUCUUACGAUCUUCGCGGUUUUUGCCUUAGGGAUCAUAGUGAAGAAAGGUCUUAACUGUGUUAGGAGGCUUCGUAG
rnacentral:misc_RNA from 1 species